ACACCUCAACUCUUCAUGGUUUUCUGUGAUGAGCUUGGACUUUGGGGGCUUUGCUGGCCUAUGGUCGGCUCCUCUAAAAUUAAUCAGCUUUCCAGUGUUUGGUGGGCGUCACAGGUGUGAUAACUAUCUACGCUUGUGUUUUUCCCACCAGGUAACCUUCAGCAGUGGAGGUUCGCUGGAGCUCAUAGAUGUCUCUCCUCGGUGAGGACAACCCUUUGAAU
rnacentral:misc_RNA from 1 species